UGGGGAAUUUUGGACAAUGGGGGAAACCCUGAUCCAGCCAUCCCGCGUGUGCGAUGAAGGCCUUCGGGUUGUAAAGCACUUUUGGCAGGAAAGAAACGUCGCGGGUUAAUACCCCGCGAAACUGACGGUACCUGCAGAAUAAGCACCGGCUAACUACGUGCCAGCAGCCGCGGUAAUACGUAGGGUGCAAGCGUUAAUCAGAAUUACUGGGCGUAAAGCGUGCGCAGGCGGUUCGGAAAGAAAGAUGUGAAAUCCCAGAGCUUAACUUUGGAACUGCAUUUUUAACUACCGGGCUAGAGUGUGUCAGAGGGAGGUGGAAUUCCGCGUGUAGCAGUGAAAUGCGUAGAUAUGCGGAGGAACACCGAUGGCGAAGGCAGCCUCCUGGGAUAACACUGACGCUCAUGCACGAAAGCGUGGGGAGCAAACAGGAUUAGAUACCCUGGUAGUCCACGCCCUAAACGAUGUCAACUAGCUGUUGGGGCCUUCGGGCCUUGGUAGCGCAGCUAACGCGUGAAGUUGACCGCCUGGGGAGUACGGUCGCAAGAUUAAAACUCAAAUGAAUUGACGGGG
rnacentral:rRNA from 1 species